rnacentral:rRNA from 1 species
AGUGAACGCUGGCGGCAGGCCUAACACAUGCAAGUCGAACGGCAGCACAGCAGUAGCAAUACUGUGGGUGGCGAGUGGCGGACGGGUGAGGAAUACAUCGGAAUCUACCUUGUCGUGGGGGAUAACGUAGGGAAACUUACGCUAAUACCGCAUACGACCUACGGGUGAAAGCGGAGGACCGCAAGGCUUCGCGCGACAAGAUGAGACGAUGUCGGAUUAGCUAGGUGGCGGGGUAAUGGCCCACCAAGGCGACGAUCCGUAGCUGGUCUGAGAGGAUGAUCAGCCACACUGGAACUGAGACACGGUCCAGACUCCUACGGGAGGCAGCAGUGGGGAAUAUUGGACAAUGGGCGCAAGCCUGAUCCAGCCAUGCCGCGUGGGUGAAGAAGGCCUUCGGGUUGUAAAGCCCUUUUGUCCGGAAAGAAAAGCAUCGGGCUAAUACCUCGGUGUUCUGACGGUACCGGAAGAAUAAGCACCGGCUAACUUCGUGCCAGCAGCCGCCGUAACAC